AUACGUAGGGGGCGAGCGUUAUCCGGAAUUACUGGGCGUAAAGAGUGCGUAGGUGGUUAUGCAAGCGCGAGGGUUUAAGGCUAGGGCCUAACCGUAGUUCGCCCCGCGAACUGCGUAACUUGAGUACAGGAGGGGAAAGCGGAAUUCCUAGUGUAGCGGUGAAAUGCGUAGAUAUUAGGAGGAACACCAGUGGCGAAGGCGGCUUUCUGGACUGCAACUGACACUGAGGCACGAAAGCGUGGGUAGCAAACAGGAUUAGAUACCCUGGUAGUCCACGCCGUAAACGAUGAGCACUAGGUGUCGGGCACGAGAGUGUUCGGUGCCGGAGCAAACGCAUUAAGUGCUCCGCCUGGGGAGUACGCACGCAAGUGUAAAACUCAAAUGAAUUGACGGGG
rnacentral:rRNA from 1 species